rnacentral:rRNA from 1 species
GGUUAAGCGACUAAGCGUACACGGUGGAUGCCCUGGCAGUCAGAGGCGAUGAAGGGCGUGCUAAUCUGCGAUAAGCGCCGGUAAGGUGAUAUGAACCGUUAUAACCGGCGAUACCCGAAUGGGGAAACCCAGUGUGACUCGUCACACUAUCAUUAACUGAAUCCAUAGGUUAAUGAGGCGAACCGGGGGAACUGAAACAUCUAAGUACCCCGAGGAAAAGAAAUCAACCGAGAUUCCCCCAGUAGCGGCGAGCGAACGGGGAGGAGCCCAGAGCCUGAAUCAGCAUGUGUGUUAGUGGAAGCGUCUGGAAAGACGCGCGAUACAGGGUGACAGCCCCGUACACAAAAGCGUAUGUGCUGUGAGCUCGAUGAGUAGGGCGGGACACGUGGUAUCCUGUCUGAAUAUGGGGGGACCAUCCUCCAAGGCUAAAUACUCCUGACUGACCGAUAGUGAACCAGUACCGUGAGGGAAAGGCGAAAAGAACCCCGGCGAGGGGAGUGAAAAAGAACCUGAAACCGUGUACGUACAAGCAGUGGGAGCACAGGUUUACCUGUGUGACUGCGUACCUUUUGUAUAAUGGGUCAGCGACUUAUAUUCUGUAGCAAGGUUAACCGAAUAGGGGAGCCGGAGGGAAACCGAGUCUUAAUUGGGCGUUAAGUUGCAGGGUAUAGACCCGAAACCCGGUGAUCUAGCCAUGGGCAGGUUGAAGGUUGGGUAACACUAACUGGAGGACCGAACCGACUAAUGUUGAAAAAUUAGCGGAUGACCUGUGGCUGGGGGUGAAAGGC